UAAUACGAAGGUGGCGAGCGUUGUUCGGAAUCACUGGGCUUAAAGCGCGCGCAGGCGGAGUGGACAGUGUCCUGUGAAAGCCCCCGGCUUAACCGGGGAAUUGCGGGGCAUACUGCCACUCUUGAGGCAAGUAGGGGUGCAUGGAACUCUUGGUGGAGCGGUGGAAUGCGUAGAUAUCAAGAGGAACGCCGAAGGAGAAAUCAGUGCACUGGACUUGUUCUGACGCUGAGGCGCGAAAGCGUGGGGAGCAAACGGGAUUAGAUACCCCGGUAGUCCACGCCGUAAACGAUGUCUACUAGGUUGUGGUUGUUCUGACACAGGCACAGCCGAAGCAAAAGUGUUAAGUAGACCGCCUGGGGAGUACGGCCGCAAGGCUA
rnacentral:rRNA from 1 species